rnacentral:rRNA from 1 species
AGCGAACGCUGGCGGCAGGCCUAACACAUGCAAGUCGAACGAACUCUUCGGAGUUAGUGGCGGACGGGUGAGUAACACGUGGGAACGUGCCUUUAGGUUCGGAAUAACUCAGGGAAACUUGUGCUAAUACCGAAUGUGCCCUUCGGGGGAAAGAUUUAUCGCCUUUAGAGCGGCCCGCGUCUGAUUAGCUAGUUGGUGAGGUAAAGGCUCACCAAGGCGACGAUCAGUAGCUGGUCUGAGAGGAUGAUCAGCCACAUUGGGACUGAGACACGGCCCAAACUCCUACGGGAGGCAGCAGUGGGGAAUCUUGCGCAAUGGGCGAAAGCCUGACGCAGCCAUGCCGCGUGAAUAAUGAAGGUCUUAGGAUUGUAAAAUUCUUUCACCGGGGACGAUAAUGACGGUACCCGGAGAAGAAGCCCCGGCUAACUUCGUG